rnacentral:rRNA from 1 species
AGCGAACGCUGGCGGCAGGCCUAACACAUGCAAGUCGAACGAACCUUUCGGGGUUAGUGGCGGACGGGUGAGUAACACGUGGGAACGUGCCUUUAGGUUCGGAAUAACUCAGGGAAACUUGUGCUAAUACCGAAUGUGCCCUUCGGGGGAAAGAUUUAUCGCCUUUAGAGCGGCCCGCGUCUGAUUAGCUAGUUGGUUGAGGUAAUGGCUCACCAAGGCGACGAUCAGUAGCUGGUCUGAGAGGAUGAUCAGCCACAUUGGGACUGAGACACGGCCCAAACUCCUACGGGAGGCAGCAGUGGGGAAUCUUGCGCAAUGGGCGAAAGCCUGACGCAGCCAUGCCGCGUGAAUGAUGAAGGUCUUAGGAUUGUAAAAUUCUUUCACCGGGGACGGUAAUGACGGUACCCGGAGAAGAAGCCCCGGCUAACUUCGUG